UAAGAACAACUAUGAAGAUCAAAGAACUAAAGUCACUUUCGAAAAGUUUGAAAAACUUAGAAUUGAUAUCCAUGAUGACCUUUUACUGUUUAAUUUUGAAAAAAAAAAUAAUGGUGGACUUUAGUGCCAGACUUUGACUUUUUGAACCAAAGUAGAGGCCACUGCAAUUUAGCCCAUCUUUUUUGAUUUUCCCUACAAAAAUGACACUCGUCAAUCUCAUAUGAUAAAAGCUGAGUAAUUAUUUUUAGUGCUUGAGGGAAAAAAUGUUGUACAAAGCUACACUCACCUUCUUCAUUUUCUUUAUACUUUUGGCUGCAUUGCUCUUCCCUGUAGCACCCACAAGAACGGAUAAAUUCAUGAAACGGACUCUUCAGGUCCAUCAUAUGCCCAGUCGGGAACAUUUCAGCCCUUCAGGUCCAAAUGCAUGAAAGGCUACGGAAAUUUCGUUAUCGUUCUCCGGUAACAAUAACAACAACAAUAACAAGAAUGAUGAGUUCAUCUAUCUAGAUUACAACAAGAACUCAUUGACUCGUUUCUAGAUGCAUAGGAGAUUUUACGUAGCAAAAAAGUUGAAAUUAUUUAUGAAUUUUGGUGUAUACAAGUUUCUAAUAAAUCAAUAAAGCAUGCGAACCAUUACCAGUUUGGUUUAUAUGUUAUACGAAAAUUAAUAAUGAAGGAUUGUUACGUGGGGAUUACUUAGUUAAUGUCAUUGUUCUCUUAUAAUAUAUAGAUAUAUAUAUAUUCCUAUUCCAAAUAAAGUGAAAAAUAGAUUAGUUUUUAUGGGCAAACUCCUACUUAAAGUAAGCAGUAUUUUAAAGUUUGGCCAAUACGAACUAUUCUAAUUCUGUUUUUUUUUUUUACAGUGAAACGGACUCUUCAGGUCCAUCAUAUGCCCAGUCGGGAACAUUUCAGCCCUUCAGGUCCAAAUGCAUGAAAGGCUACGGAAAUUUCGUUAUCGUUCUCCGGUAAUAAUAACAACAACAAUAACAAGAAUAAUGAGUUCAUCUAUCUAGCUUACAACGAGAACUCAUUGACUCGUUUCUAGAUGCGCAGGAAAUUUUACUCAGCAAAAAAGUUGAAAUUAUUUAUGAAUUUUGCUGUAUACAAGUUUCUAAUAAAUCAAUAAAGCAUGUGAACCAUUACCAGUUUGGUUCAUAUGUUAUACGAAAAUUAAUAAUGAAGAAUUGUUACGUGGGGAUUACUUAGUUAAUGGCAUUGUUCUCUUAUAAUAUAUGGAUAUAUAUUCUUA